GAUGAACGCUGGCGGCGUGCCUAAUUCAUGCAAGUCGAGCGAACAGACGAGGAGCUUGCUCCUCUGACGUUAGCGGCGGACGGGUGAGUAACACGUGGAUAACCUACCUAUAAGACUGGGAUAACUUCGGGAAACCGGAGCUAAUACCGGAUAAUAUAUUGAACCGCAUGGUUCAAUAGUGAAAGACGGUUUUGCUGUCACUUAUAGAUGGAUCCGCGCCGCAUUAGCUAGUUGGUAAGGUAACGGCUUACCAAGGCAACGAUGCGUAGCCGACCUGAGAGGGUGAUCGGCCACACUGGAACUGAGACACGGUCCAGACUCCUACGGGAGGCAGCAGUAGGGAAUCUUUCGCAAUGGGCGAAAGCCUGACGGAGCAACGCCGCGUGAGUGAUGAAGGUCUUCGGAUCGUAAAACUCUGUUAUUAGGGAAGAACAAAUGUGUAAGUAACUAUGCACGUCUUGACGGUACCUAAUCAGAAAGCCACGGCUAACUACGUG
rnacentral:rRNA from 1 species